rnacentral:tRNA from 1 species
GUGGGUGGAGCUCAGAGGCAGAGCGCGUGCUUAGCAUGCACGAGGUCCUGGGUUCAAUCCCCAGUACCUCUA